UGACGGGACGAAUAAAGUCUCGUGUCCGUGGCAAAGUAUCGUUUGAUCUCGUUUGUUAUUCAUUAACAUAAGGCAGCACCUGUGCUUUUGCCGAGUCGUCGCUGGUAGAAUACUUGUCCUCAGUUCAGCAACGAAGCAUAGCAUCUCGUUUAGGACGACUACUGUGGGGGUUUAGAGCUUUCACACAGACUGGGCGCAUAGUAACGUUGAUGGACAAGGGAUAUGCCAAACGAACACUGGAGGUUCCGUACCCUUGCUGUGUCCAUUAUUAGUGUGAGCUGCAUCCACACGGAGGUUGGACUGCUUUACGCAAGGGUUCGGGAGUUUAUGUCAACAGCGUUGCCAAUGACGGAGCAGGUACAAACAUUUGAAGUUUACACCUACUGCAUUCAUAGCGCAUGGUUGUAGUUUACUAACUAUGGUUGUAUCUGUUUUAGGAACGACUGUGUUGGUAGUGAUAAUAGCCACUGUUUUGUCUUGGUUUAUUUUCGUUCUGUUUGUUUCUUUUACUGAGUGCCACACUGAUUUUGUCCAUACUGGUGUUUGAAGGCCUAUGUUAGGCUACAGCGCAAUCCCUUGCAACGGGCCAAUGUUGAAACUAAACCUUGAAAUCAUAGAUAAGUACCAUACUACCAUAAGUAUACGGGAGGCUGUUACUCCGGGGCAUAGGGUCUAUAUGCUCCCGGCGGUAUUAGUUCAUAGAUUUACUAACGGGUUUACCCAUUGACUUAUCGCAUCCAUACUGGAAACUGGUACUCCUGAGCCAUAGGGUUCUAUGACUCGUUGUAUAGGUUGAAUUAGAUUUGCUAUAACUCUGUACUUAGUACACUUACACUGUGAACAUUUAGCAGACUCUUAUAGUAGCUGUGAUACCCUCACACCUAAGCUUUAAGUACUACAUUAAUCCCCAGAAGGUAAUAAUCUUAAACAGGGCUCCUCACUCCUAAGUGUUUGCUGUGGUCACCUUGUUUGCUCAGCUUGUAGUGCACCUUACCUUGGUCCAGGCCAUUUUGCUGUGCUGUAAAUCGUACAUUUCCCUUUCUUUUGUUUUCUUUUGUGUCCUGUGUGCCACUAUUUAUUGUGAGGAGACCCCGUCCUGGUUGAUCUUUGUGGAGGCUCUUUGUAAACUUGAAGCCUAUGUUGAGUGCCCUACCAAACUGUCAUUAUCGUUUUUAAAGACUUAUAUGUAUACAGAACUUUUAGGAUAUUGAACUAAUACAUUUUGAAUGUUUUUAUUAGUCUUGUUCUAGAGA